UGAGUAACCUGCCCUUAACUCUGGGAUAAGCCUGGGAAACGUGGGUCUAAUACCGGAUAUGACUCCUCAUCGCAUGGGUGGGGGUGGAAAGCUUUAUUGUGGUUUGGAUGGACUCGCGGCCUAUCAGCUAGUUGGUGAGGUAAUGGCUCACCAAGGCAAUGACGGGUAGCUGGUUUGAGAGGAUGGCCAGCCACAUUGGGACUGAGAUACGGCCCAGACUCCUACGGGAGCAG
rnacentral:rRNA from 1 species